UCUCUAUAAACAUAUCCUUAGAAAUUGAUCCUCUCAUGGCCUCAUUCAAGUAAUUCACUUUUCGCUAAAAUUAAUUAUGUUAAGGGAGGCCAAGUGAAAGAAACACAAUCGAUCAUUCAUGGAUCAAAGAUGGAGCUGAGAAGAAGAAAGCAGAGAAAGAAGAAGAAAGCAGAGAAAGAAGAAGAAGGUCCGUGAUGAGAAAGCGCAAGGAUGAAUUGGCGAUUGAUCAAACAUGAAAAAUUGAGGGUAUAUUCGAUAUUAUAAAACAAAAUUAAACCUCCCGUGUUUUUCAUUAAUCUUUUGUUAUUAUACGUAAAUUGUUUGGAAAAGUUGCCAUCUACCAAAGUUCCCCUAAUUUUAAACAUCAUAUUAAGAAAUCAAACAAAAACAACCUUUUCCGCCUAUUUUAAAAAACUAAGCCGAGAUCGAGACUAUGUCUCCCUUUCUACCAAUAGGUUAGCCUACGAUUAUUUUUUGAAUAAUACGGGUGUGAAACUAAAAACUAAACAGGUUUAAGUAUUAAUGUUCUAACCGCUGAAUGCUUCCAUUUUACAAUAUGGGAUGCAAGUUUUCAUUCUUCCAUCAACAGAAGAAUAAAAACUCUAUAUAUCUUCAUGUGAUCUAGUUUCAGUUGGACAAUUCUAGUUAUUUCAUCAUUAAAAAUUACUACUUUAAAUAGAUUAUAAUAAAACUACUGAAACUGAAAUCAUAAUCGACUACACAACUGUGGAUAAAAUAAAAUAUGGUCCAUGGGGAAACACAGCUAUAUCAGUAUCAUUGGAUUUCAUUUCUUGAGAUAAUCUUCAUUUUUUUAUCUCUAGUUCCUAUAGAUUAAAGAAUAGACAAAGAAUAUGCAAAUUACAGGAAAUCCCAAACUACAGGAAUCAUCCUAUCAAAAUACCUAAGGAAAAUGGUAAACUGUGACAAUGAUCACUUUCUGAUCUCUCAGAAGUCUAUUUAUAACUUUUAACUAUGUAUUGGGGAAAAAAGAACCACCUACAAGACACAUCAAGAAGCUGAUUGAAGAGAUUCUGUAAAUGGACAGUUGAUGAGAAGGCCAAAAAUGUCAACAUAAGAAGCUGAAAGAGAAGAGAUAUAGUUCAAGUUCAAGUAGAUGGGGUAGUAGAUGGCAUAGUAGUAGAUGGGGUAGUAGAUGGCAUAGUAGUAGAUGGCGUUUCUUUUCUUCCAGAAAGAA